AACAGGAUUAGAUACCCUGGUAGUCCACGCCCUAAACGAUGUCUACUAGUUGUCGGGUUUUAAUUAACUUGGUAACGCAGCUAACGCGUGAAGUAGACCGCCUGGGGAGUACGGUCGCAAGAUUAAAACUCAAAGGAAUUGACGGGGACCCGCACAAGCGGUGGAUGAUGUGGAUUAAUUCGAUGCAACGCGAAAAACCUUACCUACCCUUGACAUGUACGGAAUCCUUGAGAGAUCAGGGAGUGCUCGAAAGAGAGCCGUAACACAGGUGCUGCAUGGCUGUCGUCAGCUCGUGUCGUGAGAUGUUGGGUUAAGUCCCGCAACGAGCGCAACCCUUGUCAUUAGUUGCUACGAAGGGCACUCUAAUGAGACUGCCGGUGACAAACCGGAGGAAGGUGGGGAUGACGUCAAGUCCUCAUGGCCCUUAUGGGUAGGGCUUCACACGUCAUACAAUGGUACAUACAGAGGGCCGCCAACCCGCGAGGGGGAGCUAAUCCCAGAAAGUGUAUCGUAGUCCGGAUCGCAGUCUGCAACUCGACUGCGUGAAGUUGGAAUCGCUAGUAAUCGCGGAUCAGCAUGUCGCGGUGAAUACGUUCCCGGGUCUUGUACACACCGCCCGUCACACCAUGGGAGCGGGUUUUACCAGAAGUAGGUAGCUUAACCGCAAGGAGGGCGCUUACCACGGUAGGAUUCGUGACUGGGGUGAAGUCGUAACAAGGUAACC
rnacentral:rRNA from 1 species